UACGUAGGAGGCAAGCGUUGUCCAGAGUUACUGGGCGUAAAGCGCACGCAGGCGGUCCCAUUAGUCUGUAGGGACAGGGCACGGCUCAACCGUGUCAGGCUUACGGAAACUGUGGGACUUGAGGGCUUCAGAGGGAUGGGGAAUUCCGGGUGGAGUGGUGAAAUGCGUAGAGAUCCGGAAGAACACCAAAGGCGAAGGCACCAUCCUGGGGAGUCACUGACGUUCGGGUGCGAAAGCUAGGGGAGCGAACGGG
rnacentral:rRNA from 1 species